CCUACGGGUGGCAGCAGUGGGGAAUAUUGCACAAUGGGGGAAACCCUGAUGCAGCGACGCCGCGUGAGUGAAGAAGUAAUUCGGUAUGUAAAGCUCUAUCAGCAGGGAAGAAAAUGACGGUACCUGAGUAAGAAUCCCCGGCUAACUACGUGCCAGCAGCCGCGGUAAUACGUAGGGGGCAAGCGUUAUCCGGAGUUACUGGGUGUAAAGGGGGCGUAGGCGGCAGUGCAAGUCUGGGGUGAAAGGCGGGGGCUCAACCCCCGGACUGCUGUGGAAACUGUACGGCUGGAGUGCAGUAGAGGUAAGUGGAAUUCCUAGUGUAGCGGUGAAAUGCGUAGAUAUUAGGAGGAACACCAGUGGCGAAGGCGGCUUACUGGACUGUAACUGACGUUGAGGCUCGAAAGCGUGGGGAGCAAACAGGAUUAGAUACCCGAGUAGUC
rnacentral:rRNA from 1 species